rnacentral:rRNA from 1 species
CUACGUAGCUCAGAGUUUGAUCCUGGCUCAGGAUGAACGCUAGCGAUAGGCUUAACACAUGCAAGUCGGGGGUAACGAUGGGAGUAGCUUGCUGCUUCUGAUGACGACCGGCGGAUGGGUGAGUAACGCGUAUGCAACUUGCCUCUUAGUGGGGAAUAACCCGGAGAAAUCCGGACUAAUACCGCAUACACUUAGUUAUCCGCAUGGAUGAUUAAGGAAAGAUUUAUUGCUAAGAGAUAGGCAUGCGUUCCAUUAGUUAGUUGGUGAGGUAACGGCUCACCAAGGCAUCGAUGGAUAGGGGAGCUGAGAGGCUUAUCCCCCACAUUGGGACUGAGACACGGCCCAA